UACGUAGGGGGCAAGCGUUGAUCGGAAUUACUGGGCGUAAAGCGUGCGUAGGCGGUUCUCCAAGUCCGUUGUGAAAGCCCCGGGCUCAACCUGGGAAUGGCAGUGGAAACUAGGGGACUGGAAUCUGGCAGAGGGGGGUGGAAUGCCGCGUGUAGCAGUGAAAUGCGUAGAGAUGCGGCGGAACACCGAUGGCGAAGGCAGCCCCCUGGGCUGAGAUUGACGCUCAGGCACGAAAGCGUGGGGAGCAAACAGG
rnacentral:rRNA from 1 species